rnacentral:rRNA from 1 species
CGAGUGCCACAUCAUAUGCUGGCUGUCCGGGUGUGUAAAUACACCUGUUAGCAAGGGCCGGGCAAGACCGGUGCCAGCCGCCGCGGUAACACCGGCGGCCCGAGUGGUGAUCGUGAUUAUUGGGUCUAAAGGGUCCGUAGCCGGUUUGGUCAGUCCUCCGGGAAAUCUGACAGCUCAACUGUUAGGCUUUCGGAGGAUACUGCCAGACUUGGAACCGGGAGAGGUAAGAGGUACUACAGGGGUAGGAGUGAAAUCUUGUAAUCCCUGUGAGACCACCUGUGGCGAAGGCGUCUUACCAGAACGGGUUCGACGGUGAGGGACGAAAGCUGGGGGCACGAACCGGAUUAGAUACCCGGGUAGUCCCAGCCGUAAACGAUGCUCGCUAGGUGUCAGGCAUGGCGCGACCGUGUCUGGUGCCGC